rnacentral:lncRNA from 1 species
ACCCUCCAAACAACCUAGUCCAAACACCCCUUUCUGUCCCUCAUCGUCUCCAACUCAAAGACAUGAAAACCCUAAAUGCGGCCUGCAAAUCUCAGCCAUUCCCACUGGCGUCUGAGCUCCAAACCCCAUCAAAAUUCGACCAUACAACCUCCUUUGCCUCCCCACCCUAUUCCAAAUCCACCAUCGAUUUCCUCCCAAAAUUACCCAAUCCCCUCGAAUUUCAAAUCUCAGAAGGCAGAAGAUUCAAUGUGUUCUCCCUUCUCUGAUUUUUCCUUCAUGUGUUUUUUCCUUGAUAAUAUCACGCAUGAAUCAACUGGCUAUUUGUUUAGUUUCAAGGCAUUUCAUGGCAGCCAACUUUUGGUCAAGCAACCCACGUUCCAAGCUUCUGCUUCAUCUUACUUCUAGGCAGAUGUUGAAGGUUGUGAUAUGGAGCACUAACCGUUGAAGAAAUUCCAGUUAGUGCUCAUGUUACAAUUCUCGCCAUUCACCAAAACCCCUUACCAGUCAUCAAUUUCCCCGAGUCGUCAAUCCCUUUAGUAGACCCUGGUAUACUUCUCUCCUUUUGUUUUAUUUUAGUUUUUAUUUUCUUUUCUUUUGAUGUUCUUCACCUUAGUUUGGGUUUAAGUCAUAUUAGUUUUUGUUUGAUUAAAUCAACAUCAAUAGUCUAGUAAAGCGAUUUUUCGUUCAUGAUAAUUUUUCUUUUCCUUUUAUUCCUUUUGCUUUUUCUGUUUGUUUUUUUGAAGUUUCAUUGUUCAGAGUUUUGUGGUUUUGUAGGUUUUUUUUUUGUGAAAUUGCUUUGGUUCUGAAUUGAAUUUGGGUUUGAUGAACGCCAAAGCCCAAAGGGGGGGGGGGUCAGUCCGGGUUUUGCAAGCUCAGGUCUUUGUUUUGGGUUUUAGGGUCAAUUUGACCCAUAUGAUUGGCUGAGGGUAAAUAACAAGGGUUACAAGGUUAGUCUAGGGAAAUUAAUUAAGAGAAUCUCUUAUAAUUGAUUUGGAAACUUCCUGGAAGGUGAGGUUUGGGAUUAACUUAACAAGCAGGCCGGAAAAUCAGGGUAAAAGUGAACAAGUUGAAAAUAUAAGAAGGGGUAAUGGGUAAAAUUAGAAACCAAUUCUGCUACCCUAAAAGUAUUCUAUAAAAGGCAUAUUUCCUUCUCUUUCAAGUCAGAUUUGAGAGAUUAAAAAAGCUGAAAAAUUUAGAAACCAACGGCUGAAAGAAUACUCAAAGAACACUGAAAUUCCUGCAUUCUUUGUUCAAGAUUUGCUUGGGGUCUGCUUUUAUUCUUCUUAACUUGAAACCUUCAAAAGGUUUCCAGUUCAUUUGGGAUUCAAAAAUGGUUUAAAAGCUGGUUUGUUGCUGAUUGGUGUUGCUGACUUACUGCUGCUGCUUCCUCUUAACCUCAAGCUGUUUUCCUUGUUUAUUUGCUUUAUUCAGGUACACCUCUCGAAUUCUGAAAAAUGUAAAAGUGGCUUGUUGGAUUUGAAGAAUGAAGAUCCGCAGAUUUAUUUUUACUUAAUGCUUUCUUUUGUCUUUUCAUGUGACUUGUUAGUUUAUUUCUUUUGUCUCAACAUACUAAAAACUGAUGUCAUACCAUGGACAUUAUAACUUGUAUUGGGAUUAUAUUUGGACUUUUGUUUUGUUUGUUUGGUUCCAGCUUGCUUUAAAACUAUUUUUGCUGAGUUUUUCGGGUGUUUGUAUUAUCAUAUUGUGGGCUCAAUUUGGGAUAAGUAGCACUACUUUGGGGGUUUGAGUAAAUUGGUGCAAUUUCAGUGAUGUUUAAUUUCAGAUUACUCUUCAUAAAUGAUUUGGCUGUUUAGAAUUUUGUUCUUUAAAAUGAGUAAACUCAAGGGCUGCUGGGUCAUUGUAAUAUUUGAUGCUUAGAGUGUCUAUUGUCAAGAUUACAAUGUAUGAAAAUCAUGGCAGUAACUUUGGUGUUCAAACGAAUGGCAUUUCAAUUUUCUUCAUUUUUGUAUCUCAAUUAGUUAGUGUACUUCUUGCUUACUCUACUGAAACUGUUCAAGUUUAAUUGGGUUUGGACCACAGAAGGGUCGUUUAUAGCCCAAAGCUCUUGGUGUCCAAGUUGAUUUGCCUUGCAGGGACUCGAUCUUGAGUCCAGACCUUUUGGCGUCCACCCCUUCACCAAAUUUGGGCUCACUUGUAAAUUAGGAAUUAUAUGCCCUAUCGUGUUUAGGCCUAUUCACUUUUCGAGCUUAAAGCCUCAUCUAGCUGCCCUUGCUGGCCCGGGCCAUCUUUCAAGUAAUAAAAAAUCGUUUUCAUUUAACUCGAUCCCUUCAGCUAUUAUGUAUAGUUUGAAUGUAACUUAAAUUUGAAUUCCCCUAGUCUUUUAAUCAAUUAAUUAGACCUUUGUAGUUUGGGGUGUGCCAUGUUACCAAAACCAAUAAUCUUAUGGCCCUCAAAGAUUAAUUAAGAAACCAUUUUAAUAGAAGUAAUUCGAGGCGUGCCAUGCCGAAUAAAAUCUCAAAACCCAUACACCUCAUUUAAUUAAUAUUAACUCUUUAAAAAUCGAGGUCUGCCAUCAAUUGAAUUUUCCAUGGACCUCGUAAACAUUGUUUUGAACCUUCGUAGUUGCUUUAGGCGCAUUCUUUAAAUUGAUUUUCUUUAAAUUAUUAAAUCCAGGUGUGCAUUUCAUGUGACCCGAUUCUAAUUUUUUAACAAUGUUAAAUAGAACGUGUCGCAAAUCAUGGGUGCAUUUCAUAUGGCG